CGCAUCUGUGCAUGCAGCAUAUCAAUAAGCGGAGGAAAAGAAACUAACAAGGAUUCCCCUAGUAACGGCGAGUGAAGCGGGAAGAGCUCAAAUUUGAAAUCUUAAAGGGUUUCCCUUUACGAAUUGUAGUUUAAAGAAGUGUUUUCUGUUGAGGUUUUGGUAAAAGUUCUUUGGAAUAGGACAUCAUAGAGGGUGAGAAUCCCGUAUUUGACCUUUACUUUCAACUUUGUGAUACACUUUCAAAGAGUCGGAUUGUUUGGGAAUGCAGUCCAAAAUGGGUGGUAAAUUUCAUCUAAAGCUAAAUAUUGGCGAGAGACCGAUAGCGAACAAGUACCGUGAGGGAAAGAUGAAAAGAACUUUGAAAAGAGAGUUAAACAGUACGUGAAAUUGUCAAAAGGGAAGCGUUUGACACCAGUGUUGUUUUUCUGAAAAUCAAUUAAAGAACUGUUUAUGCUAAGUUGUUUAGACUUUAUCAGCUAACUGUUUAGUUUUGAGCUUUUCUUUAAUGCACUUUUCAGUUAACAAGUCAACAUCAAUUUCUUUUGCUGUAAAAAAGCUUGAGGAAGGUGGCUUGAGAUUCGUCUUAAGUGUUUAUAGCCUCUUGCCUAUGCAGUCGGAGAGAUUGAGGUCUGCAGCGUAGAUCCUUCGGGGCUAAAUGCAUUUGUGCUAAGUUAUAACAUUUUAUAGACAACUUGUUGACUAUGAUUUGUCUUGUAGCUUACUCGCUUAUGUUAUUUUACCUACGCUUAGGAUGUUGAGCGCAUGUCUCUCUCU
rnacentral:rRNA from 1 species